GGUGAACGCUGGCGGCGUGCCUAAUACAUGCAAGUCGAGCGACCAGACGAGGAGCUUGCUCCUCUGACGUUAGCGGCGGACGGAUGAGUAACACGUGGAUAACCUACCUCUAUGACUUGGAUAACUACGGGAAACCGGUGCUAAUACCAGCUCAUAUAUUGUACCGCAUGAUUCAAUAGUUAAAGGCGGUUUUGCUGUUACUUAUAGAUGGAUCCGCGCCGGAUUAGCUAGUUGGUAAGGUAACGGCUUACCAAGGCAACGAUGCGUAGCCGACCUGAGAGGGUGAUCAGCCACACUGGAACUGAGACACGGUCCAGACUCCUACGGGAGGCAGCAGUAGGGAAUCUUGCGCAAUGGGCGAAAGCCUGACGGAGCCACGCCGCGUGAGUGAUGAAGGUCUUCGGAUCGUAAAACUCUGUUAUUAGGGAAGAACAAAUGUGUAAGUAACUAUGCACGUCUUGACGGUACCUAAUCAGUAAGCAACGGCUAACUACGUG
rnacentral:rRNA from 1 species